rnacentral:rRNA from 1 species
UACGGGGGGGGUAAGCGUUGUUCGGAAUUACUGGGCGUAAAGGGCUCGUAGGCGGCCAACUAAGUCAGACGUGAAAUCCCUCAGCUUAACUGGGGAACUGCGUCUGAUACUGGAUGGCUUGGAUUCGGGAGAGGAAUGCGGAAUUCCAGGUGUAGCGGUGAAAUGCGUAGAUAUCAGGAGGAACACCGAUGGCGAAGGCAGUGUUCUGGGCCAGUACUGACGCUGAGGAGCGAAAGCUAGGGGAGCAAACAGG